AGGUUAAGGGCGGGUGCCGCUAAUGUGCCAGCUCUACCCCUGGUGACUCAGGAGCCUGCUCACAAGCUGCCAGCUCCAUAGCACAAGUGCAGUGCUGUUGUUUGCCUCAAAAAAGCCUUAAGAAAGCCUUAAAAAGAGCUUUUUGGUUGGCCUUUUUACUCCAGAUCCCUUGCCAGCGCAGAUUUACCUGCUCAGAAGCUAGUCUCCGCAGCAAAAAUACUCCUGUGAUACAUCAGCUCCUGCAGACAGAAAAAAGAAAAAAGACAACAGAUAUUGUCUAAAUGGAUAUCUCCAUGCCAGCAGCAAUAAAAACGUUGCCUAUUCUUUUGCUUCUGAAUGUCAUUCCCAUGGUCUAUCCUCAGAAUUGAGUGAACUUCAGCAAGCAAGCUAGCAACGUAGUUCAGUCUUGCCCAUGGGGUAAGACUUUGCAGCUAUCAUGUGAGGAGGAUGAAGAUGACAUACCCUUCAAAAUGCAGAUGAACUCAGUAACCCAGAAAGAUUAUGGAAAGAAAGAUAAAAUAUCCUAAAAAAACCAACAGCUGUUUAGCAAGAAUUGACCAGAUAAAUAGAAUUGAAGAGAAUGAAAUGAAGAUGCUAAUGAGUCAAAAUCUGGGAUAUUUUGUUCUGUUUUGGGCUGCCUGGUCCAAGAAGAAUGUUGAAAAACAUUCACGCAGAAGUCAAGUGAGAUGGCAAGGGGUGUACAGUACAUGACUUGUGAGGAGAAGAGGAGGAAGAGCAGAUCUGAUAACAAUCUGAAAUUGCAUUAAAGAGAGACAAAGAUUGUAGAGCUGAACUCUUCUUAGUAUGGCAAAUGGUAAAACAAGGAGCAAAGACCACAAGUUAAGACACUGGAACUUUGAUUUGGAUGCACAUGAUUUUUGCAUGCGUGGAGUCACACAGGUGUUAGACACAAAAGCUGCAAAGCCUCUAUCCUUGAAGAGCUUCAAGGGCAGGAUAAAUAAGCCAUGGCUGACCUGAAAUACAAGUCACAAUAUUCCUUCAAGUAAAAGGUUGGACUGAAUGGACCCUAGAGGUCUGUUCCAACCACUUCUGCAAUUGUGAAAGUCUAAUACACCAUGCAGCUACUCAGACAGUGAGCAGGGCUGAGUUGCUGGUUCCUCCUUCUUCUGCCUUUCUGCCUUUCUCCCUCUCUCCCUCUGUCUCUUUUUCUCUGCCUUUAAGUUAUGUUGCCACAUACAAUUACCAUCAAGUUAAAAAGUCUUGUAAAAAGUCCUUUCUUUCCACUUUCCAGCUUCUAUUAUUAUGCUUGCCAUCCAACCAAUUAGUUAAGAUUAACCAACAACCAACAGUUAAGACUAAGAUUUGUAAUGCACCAUGGCUGUCAGAUUGUUUACAUCUUACUUUACUUGAUUUGGCACUUUAUGCAUCUUGGCUCAAAACUGCAUGUCUUUUUUUUUUUUUCCUUGACACCAUAGCACUGUCCCUCUCAUUAUUACAAAAGACUUUUUCUUUUUUUUCUUAUAAAACAUAAUUUGUAUUUUCCCUGAUAAACCUGCACAAUUUAAUUGUCAAAGUUCAAAUAAAUCAAUAAGUACUCAUCUUUUCAAGAGACGGCAUAAAUCCAAGAUUUUAGUCCUAAACCACAAUGACUUCUGAACCAGAACUGCUGAAGCAGUAUGACACAGCUAAGUGAAUUCUCUAUCAGCUCAAAUCUUACAGACAGAAUCUGUUAGCACAAAGAUUUAAGCAAGCAGAUGGCAUCUCAAGUACUAGAAGGAACAUGGGUUAACAGCCAAAGAAAUAGAUCUUUAAUAUUUUGUGAUGAAUCAUCCCACUAGUCCAGUAAAUCUGUUUCUGUGGUAGACUUAAUAAUGUUAGCACGUCAGCUGAUUCAUGAAUCAAAAGAAUGUGUCACAUCAGGUAGCAGCUCUAGCCAAUAAGCAGCAAAUUCACACGUGAAGCCCUUAGUAUGAAACCUUUUAAGAAACGAGGCUCCAGCUAAAAAGCUGACGCCAAAGUUAAAACCUGGGAUAGGAUUGCCCACACGUGGUUGAGGGUUCUGCAAAACAGUCACUGGGAAUGUGUACAGUUCAGAACAACGCUUGCAUUUGCAAUGCGAUACCACAAUCUUCUAAAACGAGAUACCUCAUUUUGUUUACAAAGGAGAGAGAAAUGAACCCAACCGCAAGUCUCGGACACUAAUCUAGUUGCUGAUUCUAGACAAGGAUUACUUUUUUAAGAUUGCAGCGCAAAGUAGAAUAAGACUUUUGUGAAGACUGAAGCCAUAGCACGUAAUCUUCCACAUGAUUUAACUAAAACCAGAUAAAAGUGUUUCUUAAAGGUAUAUGUGAUGGGUUACACAUACUCAUUGGAUCAGAUCUUUGAAUUAGUAUGAAAAAAAUGCUAGUGAUCUGCAUGUGUAAUGGCACACACCAAAGACUGGGGUUAAAUAAAAACACAGAAGAAAACAGAACACCAAAUCAGUAUUUUUAACCCAUUCAAAAUAAGGCUCUUCAGCAGAUUCUGAACCACCAUGAAGAUAAAACACUAUCACUAUUACUGUCGGUCUGUCCUCAUUUCCUCUUCUCUCAAACCUACUCUUACUGCCUUCAGCUAUUCUAUUCAGCAUCUCUAUAGUAUGUGACUCCCCAGCGAUGGAAGUUUUGCGCUUUGGCAUAUGAUCUCUUUAGUCUGAGCAAAUUUACUGCAAAUAGAGCAGUGCAUUACAGAAUGCAUACCUCAUUAAUGCCUCUGACUACUCAGAAAGGUAGAAAUGAGAUCCAGGUGCUGCUUUGAUUCGUUUCUGCAACUCAGGCAGGAGAGCGGGAAGUUUCUUCACCAGAGGGUGGUGAGCAUGGAACAGGCUCCCCAGGGUCAUGCCACCGGACUGCUGGAAUUCAAUAAGCAUCUGGACAAUGCUGUCAGUCAUAUGGUCUGAUUUUCAGACGGUCCUGUGUGGAGCCACUUGUUGGACUCCACAGUCCUUAUGGGUCCCUUAAAUACUCACAAUAUUCUAUGGUUCUUUGAACUCCAUUUUCAUUCAAAGGGAAGAAUUUUGAAGCUUGCGUAUCGUGCAAAUGAGGUGCUAUAUCGUGACACUUCCACAUUUCAUUCUCAGUGUUGUUUAGCCAGCCCAGCUCUCCCAAGCCAUCCAAGCCUCUGUCAAGUUAAGAAUUUACUGAAACCCAGAGGCCAUUAAAACCCUGAGACUGACGGCUUUUAUUGGAUGAUAUCCUUCAACUCUCUCCGAUAUAUAUUUCCGGCGAUAACCUGUGCAGCAAAAAACUUCAUUCAGCCACAAGAGUGUGCAUGUGAGAGGACUGCAAAUCUCCUCCGCCAAACCAGAAUUAGCCGGUAUCGCAGGAAUGAAAGAGCGUGGAGAUUUGAAAUUGCAGGGAAUGGAAGCGAGACAACGCACGAGCCGAGCCGCCCGGGGAGCGAAGGGCCCGGCAGCGGCCGCGCAGCGCU